GGCAGCAAGUGCAAAGCUGCGCUCGGUCGGUCGGGCCUCGCCUUCCUGACCGAUCCUGACCGACUGUGGGCCGUUGUGUUGCAGGUGUUCUUCCCCAGAGAACGUGGACUCACGGGGCGGAGCCUUGGUGGCCCGGCAGGGCAGUCUGCCCAAGCUGUGCGAUGCCUGGGGGCUGCACGGCAACCUCCAGGGCAUGCAGGAGAGGCUGUCCAAGAUGCAGGCCUCUGGCCAGGACCGGUCCGGUCCCGCGAGGUUCUUCAAGGAAACUUCCGCAAAAAUCAAAAUUCAAGAGGAUUAAGGAGGCCCCAGAAAGCCCAGAGACCUGACCGUAGGAGCACCCACAGGGACAGAGGCCAGCUUGCCUGGACACCCUGAGUACUUGGGCAGCUUCAACCUGUCAGCCUCUGGGGGGUGGGACUCAUGAAGGGAAAGAAGAAAAUGAAAAGGGCGCUCAGGUCUUGAUUAUAAAUAACAGAGUGGGAAAUGAA